rnacentral:rRNA from 1 species
UAGGGAAUCUUCCGCAAUGGACGCAAGUCUGACGGAGCAACGCCGCGUGCGUGAAGAAGGAUUUCGGUUCGUAAAACUCUGUUGUUAGAGAAGAACAGCGCAUAGAGUAACUGUUAUGCGUGUGACGGUAUCUAACCAGAAAGCCACGGCUAACUACGUGCCAGCAGCCGCGGUAAUACGUAGGUGGCAAGCGUUGUCCGGAUUUAUUGGGCGUAAAGCGAGCGCAGGCGGUCAAUUAAGUCUGAUGUGAAAGCCCCCGGCUCAACCGGGGAGGGUCAUUGGAAACUGGUUGACUUGAGUGCAGAAGAGGAGGGUGGAAUUCCAUGUGUAGCGGUGAAAUGCGUAGAUAUAUGGAGGAACACCAGUGGCGAAGGCGACUCUCUGGUCUGUAACUGACGCUGAGGUUCGAAAGCGUGGGUAGCAAACAGG